ACCAAAUUUGGCAUUGUAUGCACACAAAAAAGGGACCUUUGUAACCAGAACAACUACAGCACAAAAUAAAUAGCUCUUGACUCUGUAUUCAAGCAGUCGGCAUACUGGCUGGAAAGAAGAUGGAGUUUUAGUUUGUACCAUUGGUCAUUUAAAAGUAAGAUUCUUGAUCAUUUUAGGCCUUCAGAUAAGGUUUUGAAAGCGACGUUGCUGUCAGAGUUACGCUUGUGUGAAAGAAGGCGCGAAAUUAUGAACGAAUUCAAAUGGUUUCAUCCAGUUUGAGGACUGUUCUUAAACGAAGUCCAGUCCUGAAAAGAAGAUUGCUUUCUUCUGCGACAUCGUGUGACUGAAAAGGGUCUCGCUGAGUUUACUGCAGUGCCCGAGCAUGCCAGCAUCAUCUGCCAUUGCGUCACCCUAGCAAAAAGUCGCGUGCAUGGACAGAGGAGAAUUCCCAUUGGUAUACCCGUUUAUUCAAAGAACCGUCUACCCAAAUAACAUUAAUAGAGGCAUUGAAAUCCCGGAAGAGUAGAUGACGGCCAUACGUUAAUAGAGAGGGGGUCACACCGUCAUCCACCGUCAUCCACCGUCAUCUACCGUCAUCCACCGUCAUGCUGCAAGUUGUGCUACGUAAUAAAGUAUUGUAAUUUUUUUUCUUUUAGAUCAAAUCAUAUACCUUUAGUAAAUUUGUCGUAACUUAUAUUCGCUAAAAAUUAUUUUGGGCAAAUGGCCCAACGGCUGACUUAUUAACUCAUUACAUAAACAAAUUCAUCAAUGUAUAAAUUCAUCUCAAAGACUAUAAAGACAACUAAGUAUAAAUAAUAUGCAAUACACUUUCAAUAGCAAGAGAUAACACUUUUGUUACGCCUCGGUAUAUGUUUCCAUGAUUUCAAUUGAAAUAGAUACAAGAUUAGCAGUUUAUUUGAUUAGGCAACUGAAUUGCACAUUGAGGGCGAUGAACUCUCAGAUUUAGAAUUGUGAUCUUCACCCAAAAUCAUUACUUGAAGAAUCUGCCUCAACUUUGUAAUGUUACGUUCUAUUGGUACUAACUUUAUAUUAUUUGUCUAUUUUUUUCCAGGUUCGUGUCUUCCUGUUAUUUUGUCAUGUAGUUGUAAAGUUUUUGUUUACUGUUUCAAAGGACCCUCAUAUUACUUUAAUCUGUUUGUGUCUGUAAGCAAGUACGCAAGAACGCAUCCAAAAUAAGGGUGUGUACACUUGAAAGCAUUUCGUGUCAAUUAAAGCUUAAAGUUUUCAUGGCGUUCAACCUUUGUUAGGAAUCAUUAAAUCUUUCAAACUAC